UACGUAGGGGGCAAGCGUUGUCCGGAAUCAUUGGGCGUAAAGCGCGUGUAGGCGGCUCGGUAAGUCCGCUCUGAAAGCCCGGGGCUCAACCCCGGGAGGCGGGUGGAUACUGCUGAGCUCGAGUCCGGAAGAGGAGAGUGGAAUUCCCGGUGUAGCGGUGAAAUGCGCAGAUAUCGGGAAGAACACCCGUGGCGAAGGCGGCUCUCUGGGACGGUACUGACGCUGAGACGCGAAAAGCGUGGGGGAGCGAACAGG
rnacentral:rRNA from 1 species